UACGUAGGGUGCAAGCGUUGUCCGGAAUUAUUGGGCGUAAAGAGCUUGUAGGCGGUUUGUCGCGUCUGCUGUGAAAUUUCGGGGCUCAACCCCGAACUUGCAGUGGGUACGGGCAGACUAGAGUGUGGUAGGGGAGACUGGAAUUCCUGGUGUAGCGGUGAAAUGCGCAGAUAUCGAGAGGAACACCUGCGGCGAAGGCGGGUUGCUGGGCCGACACUGACGCUGAGGCGCGAAAGCUAGGGGAGCGAACGGG
rnacentral:rRNA from 1 species